rnacentral:tRNA from 1 species
GGGUCCUUGGCCUGGGCCUUCGCGAGGAUGAGCAUCGUCAGCUCGGCGAGGUAGUCCCCGCAGAGCACGUCGACGGGCCCACCGUCGAGCAUCUCCC